rnacentral:rRNA from 1 species
UAGCGUAGGGGGCAAGCGUUGUCCGGAAUCAUUGGGCGUAAAGCGCGUGUAGGCGGCUCGAUAAGUCUGCUGUGAAAAGUUCAGGGCUCAACCCUGAAAUGCCGGUGGAAACUGUCGAGCUAGAGUCCGGAAGAAGGCGAGUGGAAUUCCUGGUGUAGCGGUGAAAUGCGCAGAUAUCAAGAGGAACACCAAUGGCGAAGGCAGCUCGCUGGGACGGUACUGAACGCUGGAGGAGCGAAAGCGUGGGAGCGAACAGG